rnacentral:rRNA from 1 species
AUAUCGCGCAAUGGUGGGAACUCUGACGCAGCGACGCCGCGUGAGCGAUGAAGUUCAUCGUAUCGUAAAGUUCUGUCCUCGGGGAAGAAGUUCUUCGGACUUGACGGUCCCUAAGUAUGUACCCCCGGCUAACUACGUUCCAGCAGCCGCGGUAAUACGUCGGGGGCAAGCGUUGUCCGGAAUUAUUGGGCGUAAAUGGUGCGUAGGCGGCCUUUUAAGUCAGAUGUGAAAACCCACGGCUUAACCGUGGGACUGCAUUUGAAGCUGGAGGGCUUGAGUAUCGGAGAGGGUAGUGGAAUUCCCAGUGUAGCGGUGGAAUGCGUAGAUAUUGAGAGGAACACCAGUGGCGAAGGCGACUACCUGGACGAAAACUGACGCUGAGGCACGAAAGCUAGGGGAGCAAACA